CACUGGAGAGCAGCCAAAGAUUUAAGGCGUGGAUGGCGAGGGAGGCGGCGGGAGCGGACGCACCUCGCAGCAUCGAUCGGACCUUGACGCCAAACGUUUGACUGCUAUGGCGGCAAAUCACCAGCCGGUCUGCGAGCUGGACGCAUCUGCCUUAAUGUGCCGGAAAUGAUGGUUGUAGCUGGUUGUCGUCUACGGUCCACUACGUGCGGAAAUGGGCUUCUAUAGUUGUGUGGAUGCAUCACUCCAGCCAAUCCAAAGACGGGGUUUGUAACCAAUCAGGUGUAGAGACCAUGGUGACUGGCUCCGCCCCCUUAAUGUCAGAAAGAACAACAGCGAGCGCGUAGAAAACUCCUUCGAGCGCGAGCAGAGACUAACCUCAACCUCAAGAAUCUCUUCUCUCGCACAGAGACCGUGACACCGAGGAGCAGCUCCGCUCAUUUUGCCCACUUUCACCUCAUACUUACAAAACCAGUCGGAUUAUAUUUUCUUUUAGAUAAAACAGGCAUUUUUCAAUAUUUUUACGACUUCCUCAAUGCUACGCGGCGAGGCCUACCAAACAAGAUGAGCCUGUGCUAAAGGUAAUUAGCAGAAGAUGCCUCCCUUCUCUACGGAAGAUUACCACAAACUCGUACAGAAGAUUUUACUGCUGGAAACAAAAGUUAAUCGGUUAGAGGUAAAUGUAGAAGUAAACGGACCAUGUGGGAACAACACCACUCUAGCAAUGACUCAAAACAGUGGACAAGAGCAUGCUAGAACCCAGCUAACUAGCAAUGAUGGAACUAUGAAGAAACUGGAGGACUCUGUACAGGGUAAUAAACCAGCGACAAUCCUCCCUGGACCACACUUGGUGCAAAGCCAAAGAGAAGACCAGACAAGGGAGAACGGAUAACUGGCAGGAUGCCGCAGCGGCCCGAUAUCUGUGAUCUGGCCGACUGGCCUGCGUUACCAUCCAGGCAUAACUCCUCCUCAACGUAGAACAAAGCAGCGGACAACUGAGAAGAGGGGAACUACCUAGAAAACUCCCCAGCAAACAGGUGUAAAUCUACAAAACAGGUUUGCUCCACUGUUGCAGGACCAUGGAUCCCCCUCUAAAUUUCUGGAUAACCCUCCACCACCAUGCAGCAGGGUAAGACCUGCUAACUUAAAGCCACAGAGAAAGCUAACGACAGGGCCUGAAAAUCUGAUUGUGGGUGAUUUUUCUGUAAAAGAUAUGAAAAGUAGUAACGACACCAAAGUACUCUGCUUCCCGGAGGAUAUGGUGUCUGACUUGGAAGAAAGAAUUUUGGAAAUUGUGGCUGAACACCCAACUGUGAAAAACCUAAUUCUGCACAUUGGCUCCAAUGACAUUGAAAAACAACAAUCAUAAAAGUUAAAAGAGCACUUCGAUAAUCUCCUAGAAACAGUCAGCUCUGUG
ensembl:lncRNA